CCCUGGUUAGCUCAUUUAGUAGAGUCCUCCACUGGAAAUGGAGAAGUUAAUGGUUCGAUACCAGGACCAGGUG
rnacentral:tRNA from 2 species